rnacentral:rRNA from 1 species
UGGGGAAUUUUGGACAAUGGGCGAAAGCCUGAUCCAGCAAUGCCGCGUGUGUGAAGAAGGCCUUCGGGUUGUAAAGCACUUUUUGUCCGGAAAGAAAUCCUUGGCUCUAAUACAGUCGGGGGAUGACGGUACCGGAAGAAUAAGCACCGGCUAACUACGUGCCAGCAGCCGCGGUAAUACGUAGGGUGCAAGCGUUAAUCGGAAUUACUGGGCGUAAAGCAUGCGCAGGCGGUUUGCUAAGACCGAUGUGAAAUCCCCGGGCUCAACCUGGGAACUGCAUUGGUGACUGGGCAGGCUAGAGUAUGGCAGAGGGGGGUUAGAAUUCCACGUGUAGCAAGUGAAAUGCGUAGAGAUGUGGAGGAAUACCGAUGGCGAAGGCAGCCCCCUGGGCCAAUACUGACGCUCAUGCACGAAAAGCGUGGGGGAGCAAAACAGGAUUAGAUACCCUGGUAGUCCACGCCCUAAACGAUGUCAACUAGUUGUUGGGGGAUUCAUUUCCUUAGUAACGUAGCUAACGCGUGAAGUUGACCGCCU